ACGAAGUAGCAAUACUUAGUGGCAAACGGGUGAGUAAUAUGUGGGAAUCUACCUAUCGGUCUGGAAUAACAUGAGGAAACUUGUGCUAAUACCGGAUAAGCCUUUACAGGGAAAGCUUUAUGCUCCGAUUGAUGAGUCCACACUUGAUUAGUUAGUUGGUGAGGUAAUAGCUCACCAAGACAAUGAUCAAUAGCUGAUUUGAGAGGAUGAUCAGCCACAUUGGGACUGAGACACGGCCCAGACUCCUACGGGAGGCAGCAGUGGGGAAUAUUGCACAAUGGGAGAAACCCUGAUGCAGCGAUGCCGCGUGAGUGAAGAAGGCCCUUGGGUUGUAAAGCUCUUUCGUCGGGGAAGAAAAUGACUGUACCCGAAUAAGAAGGUCCGGCUAACUUCGUGCCAGCAGCCGCGGUAAUACGAAGGGGCCUAGCGUAGUUCGGAAUUACUGGGCUUAAAGAGUUCGUAGGUGGUUAAAAAAGUUGGUGGUGAAAUCCCAGGGCUUAACUCUGGAACUGCCAUCAAAACUUUUUAGCUAGAGUAUGAUAGAGGAAAGUAGAAUUUCUAGUGUAGAGGUGAAAUUCGUAGAUAUUAGAAAGAAUACCAAUUGCGAAGGCAGCUUUCUGGAUCAUUACUGACACUGAGGAACGAAAGCAUGGGUAGCGAAGAGGAUUAGAUACCCACGUAGUCCAUGCCGUAAACGAUGUGUGCUAGACGUUGGAAAUUUAUUUUCAGUGUCGCAGCAAAAGCGUUAAGCACACCGCCUGGGGAGUACGACCGCAAGGUUAAAACUCAAAUG
rnacentral:rRNA from 1 species